AACCUCGCUCAAGCCUCAUAGCCAAUUUAUUGGGGCCGGACUUAAAAUACCACACCAUUGAGCUCUAAAAUUUCUAGCCCAAUGAGCCAAACGACGGCUUUACCCUAGAGAACGCUUACCAUAGCUGGUAACACUGUGAGGGAAGCUGCUGGUCCAAAUGGGUUUGCUUGAAAUCAUGGCUGCUGGCGCUGUUGCUGUUGCUCUUCUUUCAUGGAAGAUUGAAACUUCAAAAUGGACGGUUUCCAUCGUUGGUAUGUGGUAUGGGAAGAGUUGGAAAGACUAUUUUGGUGAAGAAUUUAAAUAAUGAGCUCCUAAAGAUUGCUGCUUCAGGCUCUAAACUGUCUUUUGGUCUUAUGGUAUGGGUUACAGUUCCCAAACCGCCAAUAGACAUAAAAAAGGUUCAAACAAAAAAUGCCAACAGAAUAGACGUAAAUUCAUCAAAGGCUCAAGCAAGAAAUGAGUUUCCUUCUUAUCCUGGAUGAUGCUUGGCAAAUGAAAACAUACACCGAAACAAAGGUGUACACAAUGAAUGAAGAUGAAUCUUGGCAACUGUUUGUCAAAAAAACAGAAGAUAAUACCGAUCUGGAGCAUAUUCAACCAUUCGCAAAGGCAAUUGCUAGAUAUUGAGUUGGCCUCGGAGCAAAGAAGUAAGCACGUGAACAGAAGUAUCAAAAGGAGAGAUGACAUUCAAAGUUGUUCCUUGUAUUGCUCCUUAUAUCUCGAUGGCUAUUCCAACAGAUGAUCUCAUACACGUUGCCAAUGGGCAGAGGGGUUCCUUGGUGAAUGUAACACAUGAAGAAGCCUACAACAGGGGAAUCACAAUGAUUGUGAGUCUAAAAGAUGCUUGCUUGCUUGAAAUGAACAAGUUUGAUUAUGUGAAGAUGCAUGGCAUAGUUCAAGAUGUUGGUACAUGGAUAGCUAAUUCCUUUG